rnacentral:lncRNA from 1 species
UCUGGGCUGUGUUGUGCUUCCAGGAUAUAUCUGGGAAGUUGAAGUCCCCCACGAGAACAAGCGCUGACAAUUUUGCAACUCUUUGCAGCUGCCUGUAGAACUCUUCAUCAGUCUCCUCAUCCCGGUUUGGCAGUCUAUAACAGACCCCCACCAGGAUGCUUGCCUUGUUGGCCUUCUCGCUGAUCCUAACCCAUUGGGACUCAACCUUGUCAUUCCCAGACUCAAGUUCCGCGACAUCAAAACUCUCUCUGAUACAGAGAGCCACACCAUCACCCCUUCCAUGCUCCCUGUACCUUCUGAAGAGCCUAUAGCCAGACAUUGCAGCACUCCAGUCAUGAGAGUGGUCCCACCAUGUUUCCGUGAUGGCAACCAAGUCGUAGCCUGCCUGCCACACAAUGGCUUCCAGCUCCUCCUGUUCGUUACCCAUGCUGCGUGCAUUAGUGUAGAUGCACUUCAGUUGGGCCAUUGCCUUCUCUCCCAGCCUUGCCAUUGUUACCCCGGCACAGCUCUAACAAGCCUUGUUUCAGCCCCAUCCCCCUUCUCACCUAGUUUAAAGCCCUCUCAAUGAGCCCCGCCAGCUCCUGGCCCAGGGUCCGUUUUCCCCCCAGAGAUAGGGGCCCGUCUGCGGCCAUCAGGCCGGGUGAUGACUAAAGCGCCCCAUGGUCAAAAAAACAAAAAAAUUCUGUGUUGGCACCAGCCUCUGAGCCACGUGUUUAUCAGGUGGGCUUUCUGUGUCCUCUCUGUACCCUUCCCUGCCACCGUAGGGAUGGAAGAAAACACCACCUGUACUCCCGCUCCAUCCACUAACCAUCCCAGUCCCCUGAAGUCCCAUGUGAUGAUCUUCAGGCUUCUCUCUUCAAUGUCAUCACUACCAGCCUAGACUAUUAAAAGAGGAUAAUAGUCAGAGGGGCAAACCAGGUUGGGAAGCUUUCUGGCAAUGUCCCUGACCCUGGACCCAAGGAAGCAGCAGACUUCCCUACGGGUAGGGUCAGGCCGACAAAAUGUUCCCCUGAGAAGGGAGUCAGCCACAACAAUCACCCUUCUUUCUGUCCUCGUGGAGGCAGUCCUGAGGCGUGGAGUUGACUUCCUUGCCCUAGGCAUCCUCCUGGGUAGACUUACUACCUCUUCCUCAGCUACUGGUCUCUCAAGCUCCAGGGCCUCAAACCUGUUGGGUAAGGGCACCUGGGAAGGUGGGGCUGGUGGGGGAGGGCAUCGCCUGCAAUGUCAAGCAGGGACCUGUCUCCAUUCCUCCUCAACUCCUAGGUCCCCUGCCUCUGCCCGACAGCAACAGGGCAGGGGGUCCACCCCCAUUUGGGGUGUCUCACCCCGGGGCCUGCCCUUCAGGCCGCACAGGGAGUUGCUGCGCAAGUCUAUCUCCUGCUCACACUCCCUGAUAUCCCUCAACCUCUUGACCUCCUCGAGUUCUGCCACGAGGCGGACCAGGUCAUCCACCUGCUGGCACCUCACGCACACAGUCUCUUUGCCCCCUGCACGUGGUAGCAACAGGCUCAGGCACUCCCUGCACCCGGAGACCUGACCUGCUGCAGUUUUGAGAGGGCAGUCCGUCUGGGUGUGUACAGACUUCCUGGAGAGCACACUGUGCCUGGUGUACACCAUUGCAGCUGAGCUAGUGGUAGACCGCCGUUAGAGGAGGUGUUCGUAUGGGCGGGGAGGAGCGCUCUGCCCUUCCUGCUCACCCUGCCUGCACAAACCGCUGCGCUAACUGCCAUGCCACUCCCUUCUGACAUGCCACGCCCUAACUGCCACGCCAUGCCGUUUGCCCAUCCUGUUCGCUGCGCUCCUGGUUGCUCAUGCUCCCUAGGGACAGCUUAUGAACGGCUGGGGAAGGGACGGUGCUGGCUCUGCCUACGCCUCAUUCUCGCCUCGUUCACCUCUCUUGAGAGGGCUGCCGGUUCCUGGCAGCUCCCUCGACUGGGUUCAGUGCCGGAAAAAUUAGCCCUGCCUGUCCGAUCCCCCGCUCUGCUGCAGAACGCGUCUGCCCCAGAGCCAAUUGCCUCGGCAAGUGGCAAUUUCUUAUGCUACAUGCUGCUGCUUGGUCCAGUCCACCCGCUGCCAUUUCUGGUGGUCAAAAUCUUGGGAGGGGAAAAAACAGAAGAGUGAGGGAAACUUUUCUGCCUGACUGUGCACAGUACUGUCUCCACAAAGACUUUACCAAAAGUGCUCUGGUUUACGUCUUCAUGCCAAAAGUGUAACACUUUGUAAGUGAAACCAAAAAUUUAGUAUUAGCUUAGUUACCAUCCCAAAAAUCCAAUCAAAGUACAACAGUUAUCUUUAGUUCAACUACAGUAAGAUUGAUAGUCCUUUAAUUAAACAAAAGUCCCUAGAACUGUCAUGAAAGAAAACUUACUCAUGUUUACUCCAUUUCUUUCACUCUCAUCCUUUCAAUGUCCUCCUAAGUCCAAAGGUCAGUGACUCCCCUUUUCACCAGGCAGAGGGUCACUUUGGGUUAUCCUCAGUUAUUCACCAUAGGCAGCACAAUGCUUGAUCUCUGUCCUCACUCUCAGAUCCACUUGGAUCUGAGACUGGAUUUUAAAAUGUUUUCUCAUCAUAGUAUGCUUCCUUUUCAUUGGUUUUCAGAUGAAGUUUGAAAACUAUACAAGAGUCUAACACCACAGCUCACAAAGAGCUGUUGGUUGCUAGACUGCCAUUUUACCUGGUGUGCUAGACCUAACAAUCUACUCCACAGAUAUGUCAGACUUUUGUAAUAUAUGCUAUACACAGAGCUUGAAUUUAAACAGAUAAGCAAGAGUCAACCACUAGAAAAUUUAUAAAAGAAGCUUGAAUCAGCUCAAGCCCAAGUCCUGU